GAUGAACGCUGGCGGCGUGCCUAACACAUGCAAGUCGAGCGAACAGACGAGGAGCUUGCUCCUCUGACGUUAGCGGCGGGCGGGUGAGAAACAUGUGGAUAACCUACCUCUAAGACUGGGAUAACUUCGGGAAACCGUAUCUAAUACCGGAUAAUAUAGUGAACGGCAUGGUUGAAUAGUGAAAGACCGUUUUGCUUUCACUUAUCGAUGGAUCCGCGCCGGAUUAGCUAGUUGGUAAGGUAACGGCUUACCAAGGCAACGAUGUGUAGCCGACCUGAGAGGGUGAUCGGCCACACUGGAACUGAGACACGGCCCAGACUCCUACGGGAGGCAGCAGUAGGGAAUCUUCGGCAAUGGGCGAAAGCCUGACGGAGCAACGCCGCGUGAGUGAUGAAGGUCUUCGGAUCGUAAAGCUCUGUUAUUAGGGAAGAACAAAUGUGGAAGUAAACAUGCACGUAUUGACGGUACCUAAAGAGAAAGCACCGGCUAACUACGUG
rnacentral:rRNA from 1 species